CCCCAGGCUGUGGCACUUUGUUACGACAUCCUAGCGAAUGCAUAUGUUGGGAAGGGUCAGCCUCGGGACCGGAUAGACACUGGCCAGCCCUGACGCCAACAGUAACCCUUUCUCCCUCAGCGACACAGUCUGGGAGUUGCCAGGGAGGACCAGGCCACUCAGCACUCCUGGAACUCCCCCAGGAGCAGUCCAACUUUCAGAAUGCAAAACUAACAUCUUAUCUCAUUCAUUCAUUCACGCAUUCACUCAUUCGGCUAACACCUUAUUGGGUCCCAGCUAUGUUCCAGGCAACUCAGUGGGCAGAGGGCAGGCUCAGUCUCUGCCUUUAGAGAGCUGGUGGGGGAGGCAGGCCCUUCCCAGAUGGAGACCCUUCAUUGAGUGGGACACAAAAGAGCCUGGUGAGAGCAUGGCAAGGGGACCUCAGGUCUGUUGCUCCAUGUCGGCCUUCCCCAUGCAGCUGCCCGCUUUGGGGCAUGAGGAUCUGGGUUCCCAGGACAGACUGCCACUGAUGGAGGGCACCCCACCCUUCCCAGAGGGAGACAACACACUAUAUCCGAGGAAUGUGGGGUGACUGGCUGUCAAAGGUCAACUUCUGUUGGGGCUGGUGACGCUGCAGAACACAACCGGCACCAGUGUUUUGCAAUGUGUAGUGCAAUCAUUUUUCACCAGCAGCCCUCUCAAAGAGACCUGGUGGAGCAAGACAAUGGAGAUAAUAGGGCUGAGCCACUGCUUACAGCUCUGUAAACCCAGGCUCCCCAAGUCCUAGGGACGAGAGCUCUGCAGAUAUCGUGGGGCGGAACCCCAGGCUGCCUGGUUGGUGCUGGCACCAGCUGCUCUGCGCAGACUUGGGCUGUGAGCAGGGGUGCGGCCUUGGACUCCUCCAGCUGGGCUUGCUCCCUGAGCACGGGGCGUUCUGAGGGCUUAGAGCAGGGAGCCUGCAGGGCAGCGCAGACCCGGGCGGGCUCGGCCUCCUCGGUGGAAUCAGUCUGCGGACCAGUGGGCAGCUGGUAGAUGUCAGCGUUCACCCCGCUCGCCUCUUACUCCAAAAGACAUUCAAAAAAGGCACGUUAUCCAUAAGCCUGGCAGGAAGUCAUGGGCUCAGGAUCACAGGCAGUUGCAGAAGUUGGAGUGGACAGAACCACAGGCACUGGCUUCUGGUCUGUGGGGCCUUGAGUUUGAGCUCCUGGAUUGGCCUGAGCUGGCGAGGGCCUCACUCCAUCCCUUCCAGAAGACCAUGUGGGCACUUGAUCUACCUCUUAUUCACACCCCCCAACCAGCACAUGGGGCAGACACUCUGGAAAGAAAUGGCGGCUCUGAAGGGUUAAGUGGCUUCUCGAAGGUCCCACAGCUCAUGGUAGAGCCACAUCCACAUCCAGGACUGAGCAGCUCCAAGCAUGGUUCCUUCCGCAGCCCUGCUCAGCCUCCUCGUGGAGGCCACUCAAUUUCUUGGCAAGAGACAAGAGGACGUGAGACAUCAGGACUGUGGUCAGGACAGUGGAAGGUUUUAUUUUACUUUUUGUUUGCUUUUUUAUUUAUUCAUUCCAAAAUGAAAAUGAUGAGUUAUUUAGAAUUCUUUAAGAUUCAAAAUAUAGAGUUUAAAGAACAAAGUAAAAAUUACCCUUAAAUUCCACCAACUGGAGAUAGUUACUGUUAACAGUUUGGCGAACAGAUUUCCAGACAGCUCUGUGUGCGUGUGCGUGUGUG
ensembl:lncRNA